CGGCAGCACGGGAGCAAACCUGGUGGCGAGUGGCGAACGGGUGAGUAAUACAUCGGAACGUGUCCUGUAGUGGGGGAUAGCCCGGCGAAAGCCGGAUUAAUACCGCAUACGCUCUACGGAGGAAAGGGGGGGAUCUUAGGACCUCUCGCUACAGGGGCGGCCGAUGGCAGAUUAGCUAGUUGGUGGGGUAAAGGCCUACCAAGGCGACGAUCUGUAGCUGGUCUGAGAGGACGACCAGCCACACUGGGACUGAGACACGGCCCAGACUCCUACGGGAGGCAGCAGUGGGGAAUUUUGGACAAUGGGCGAAAGCCUGAUCCAGCAAUGCCGCGUGUGUGAAGAAGGCCUUCGGGUUGUAAAGCACUUUUGUCCGGAAAGAAAUCCCCUGGGAUAAUACCCCGGGGGGAUGACGGUACCGGAAGAAUAAGCACCGGCUAACUACGUGCCAGCAGCCGCGGUAAUACGUAGGGUGCAAGCGUUAAUCGGAAUUACUGGGCGUAAAGCGUGCGCAGGCGGUUCGCUAAGACAGAUGUGAAAUCCCCGGGCUUAACCUGGGAACUGCAUUUGUGACUGGCGGGCUAGAGUAUGGCAGAGGGGGGUAGAAUUCCACGUGUAGCAGUGAAAUGCGUAGAGAUGUGGAGGAAUACCGAUGGCGAAGGCAGCCCCCUGGGCCAAUACUGACGCUCAUGCACGA
rnacentral:rRNA from 1 species